rnacentral:rRNA from 1 species
CCUACGGGGGGCUGCAGUGGGGAAUAUUGCACAAUGGGGGGAACCCUGAUGCAGCGACGCCGCGUGAGCGAAGAAGGAAUUCGUUUCGUAAAGCUCUGUCCUAUGGGAAGACAAUGACAGUACCAUAGGAGGAAGCCCCGGCUAACUACGUGCCAGCAGCCGCGGUAAUACGUAGGGGGCGAGCGUUGUCCGGAAUCACUGGGCGUAAAGGGUUCGCAGGCGGAUAGGAAAGUCUAAAGUAAAAAGCGAGGGCUCAACCCUCGUAAGCAGUAGAAACUAACUAUCUUGAGAAGUGGAGAGGUAAGUGGAAUUACUAGUGUAGCGGUGAAAUGCGUAGAUAUUAGUAAGAAUACCGGUAGCGAAGGCGACUUACUGGACACUAACUGACGCUGAGGAACGAAAGCGUGGGUAGCAAACAGGAUUAGAUACCCCGGUAGUC